GACGAACGCUGGCGGCGUGCUUAACACAUGCAAGUCGAACGGAAAGGCCCUGCUUUUGUGGGGUGCUCGAGUGGCGAACGGGUGAGUAACACGUGAGUAACCUGCCCUUGACUUUGGGAUAACUUCAGGAAACUGGGACUAAUACCGGAUAGGAGCUCCUGCUGCAUGGUGGGGGUUGGAAAGUUUCGGCGGUUGGGGAUGGACUCGCGGCUUAUCAGCUUGUUGGUGGGGUAGUGGCUUACCAAGGCUUUGACGGGUAGCCGGCCUGAGAGGGUGACCGGCCACAUUGGGACUGAGAUACGGCCCAGACUCCUACGGGAGGCAGCAGUGGGGAAUAUUGCACAAUGGGCUGAAGCCUGAUGCAGCAACGCCGCGUGCGGGAUGACGGCCUUCGGGUUGUAAACCGCUUUCGCCUGUGACGAAGCGUGAGUGACGGUAAUGGUUAAAGAAGCACCGGCUAACUACGUG
rnacentral:rRNA from 1 species